UCAUAUUAAUAUAUUUACAGUAUUUAUUAAUAGAUAAAAUCAAAAAGUUCCUAUGUUCAUCAUGAAUUAGAUGCAUUAGAAAGAGAACAAUUGGAAAUUGAUAAAAAUGCUGCAGAAUUAGAAAAAAAAUUAAGAAAAGUAAUGGAAUCAGGAAAUAGUGUAUUAGAAGAAGAGUUAAUGCAACAGUGGUUUACUCUGGUCAAUAAAAAGAAUGCUUUAAUUCGUCGCCAAAUGCAGUUAAAUAUUCUCAUUUAUCUUCAUUAGAUCUACUAUCCAUUCAGUGUGUAUCAUCUAGAUUUAUACUGUAGAUAUAGUUUAAAUUAUUUUCUGUAAUAGCCAAAAAGAAGAGUAUUUUAUUUACGAAUUAAAUCAAAAUAAAUUAACCAGUAAUCAGAAAAAAAAAAAGUAUAUAUUAAUGAGUUUUACACUUUAAAACUGCAAGUUAUAAUGAAGUUGAAGAAUGUAUUUUUUAGAAUUUUUAGCAAUAGAUAAAUAUCUUAUGAUUGAAUACAUGGGAAGUUAUUCUUUUUUAAACAAUUUUUCGGGCAUAUCUGCAACAAUUUUGUGUUUAUAAUUUGCGUAAAAAAAUCAAUGUUGUUAUUGUAAAUCUUGUCAGGCAGUUCUGAUCUACGUAGACAUAGUUAAAUAUUCAAUGGAUAUUUUUGACGAGUAAUAGAUGUCUUGCAUAUUUCUUGAUAAGAAAUAUAGUUUUGAUAGUUUCAAGAGAAGAAUGUAGUUCUUUUAUGAAUGUGUUCGUAAAAAAAAAAUUUCUGCUUACGUUUAAUUUACUUGUUAGAAAUUUGUUUAUAGAUCGUGUCGCCAUCUAUUGGCUGAAAAUAUAUUUAUCGUAAAUUAAUGAGGAUUAAUGUCAUUUGCAUCAUUUUUUUUUUUUUACUAAGUAUA